UACGGAGGGUGCAAGCGUUAAUCGGAAUUACUGGGCGUAAAGCGUGCGCAGGCGGUUAUGUAAGACAGAUGUGAAAUGCCCGGGCUUAACCUGGGAACUGCAUUUGUGACUGCAUGGCUAGAGUUUGGCAGAGGGGGGUAGAAUUCCACGUGUAGCAGUGAAAUGCGUAGAUAUGUGGAGGAACACCGAUGGCGAAGGCAGCCCCCUGGGUCAAGACUGGCGCUCAUGCACGAAAGCGUGGGGAUCAAACAGG
rnacentral:rRNA from 1 species